AUAGUACUCCCUCCGUUCGGAAAUACUUGUCAUCAAAAUGAAUAAAAGGGGAUGUAUCUAGAUAUAUUUUAGUUCUAGAUACAUCCCUUUUUGUCCAUUUUGAUGACAAGUUUUUUCGGACGGAGGGAGUACUCG
rnacentral:pre_miRNA from 1 species